AGGAUAAACGCUGGCGGCGUGCAUUAGACAUGCAAGUCGAACGGACUUUUCAGGGCUUGCUCUGAAAAGUUAGUGGCGGACGGCUGAGUAACGCGUAGGUGACCUACCCCGAAGUGGGGAAUAACUGCCCGAAAGGGUGGCUAAUACCGCAUGUGAUCGUUUGUUCAUUCGAACGAUCAAAGCAGCAAUGCGCUUCGGGAGGGGCCUGCGUCCGAUUAGCUCGUUGGUGGGGUAAUGGCUCACCAAGGCGACGAUCGGUAGGUGGUCUGAGAGGACGAUCACCCAGACUGGGACUGAGACACGGCCCAGACUCCUACGGGAGGCAGCAGUCGGGAAUUUUGCUCAAUGGGCGCAAGCCUGAAGCAGCAACGCCGCGUGAGGGAUGAAGGCCUUCGGGUUGUUAAACCUCUUUUAUCAGGGAAGAUUAUGACGGUACCUGAUGAAUAAGCCACGGCUAACUACGUGCCAGCAGCCGC
rnacentral:rRNA from 1 species